CCUACGGGAGGCAGCAGUGAGGAAUAUUGGUCAAUGGGCGGAAUCCUGAACCAGCCAUGCCGCGUGCAGGACGACGGCUCUACGAGUUGUAAACUGCUUUUGUACGGGGGUAAAAUGCUCUACGAGUAGGGUUUUGAAAGUACGGUACGAAUAAGGAUCGGCUAACUCCGUGCCAGCAGCCGAGGUAAUACGGAGGAUCCGAGCGUUAUCCGGAUUUAUUGGGUUUAAAGGGUGCGUAGGUUGUUUUAUAAGUUAGCGGUGAAAUACCGAUGCUCAACAUCGGGGCUGCCGCUGAUACUGUAGGACUAGAGAUCGGAUGCAGCAGGCGGAAUGUGUAGUGUAGCGGUGAAAUGCAUAGAUAUUACACAGAACACCGAUUGCGAAGGCAGCUUGCUAGGCCGGAUCUGACACUGAUGCACGAAAGCGUGGGGAUCGAACAGGAUUAGAUACCCUUGUAGUC
rnacentral:rRNA from 1 species